GUGAAAUGUUCGAAGUGUUUUAUACUGAAUGCCUUCAACGUCUGCUUCUUCUUCCUGAAACGUACACGUGCCAAUGACCACAUAAUUAUUGCCACCAUAUGCAAUUAGGUUUCCUGAAUCCCCAUUCUCAAAGGGAUUAAAUUCUACCACAUGCACAUAAUCUUCACAAUCCACAGUGUAGGCAGCAUUUCUUGAGGCAUCUUGCUUCAUCUUGUAUGUCAAAAUUCAAGCAGUUGUGAAAAUUAAAUAGCCUUCUAC
rnacentral:lncRNA from 1 species